UGUAGUUCUAACUCGCAGAUGUAUAGAAAAGGGAAUAUGGUCGACCAAGGGUAAAAGAGUCAUUUAACCAUGUCAUAAAAUGUGUUUCCAACCAACAACAGAGAAAUAUGAUUCUUGCAUAAAUUUGGACUUUUUUUUGACUUCUCAUUAUUUUUUUAUCGGGGUGUGGCAAUUUCAGAUUGAUUAUUCACUAAAGAGCGAAGUUCAAAGGAGUCUAAUGAGUGAGGCAGGAUCUGAAGAAAGGUCGCACCCCAAGAGGUGUUGAUGUAGACGGCCUACCUUAAUGCAAGCAUUAGUGGCUGCUUCCACGAAUAGGAGCAAGAAGCUCUUUUGAUGGAGGUCAAGACGAAUACAAAGUGGUGAUGUUUUCGGCUUCCAGCAAUGCACAAAUUUUUACAAUACUCUUUAUGGUUCUUAAUGGGAUUAUGUGAUUUAUGUUGUUCGUACAUGCAUGGUGUAAGUACUCAAAAACAUAAUACAUCUGGUUGAUCAUGUGGUAUAAAAUGAUGGGUAGGAGAUGAGGAAUUAGUCA